GGAUAACAAUUGGAAACGGUUGCUAAGACUGGAUAGGAAACAAAAAGGCAUCUUUUUGUUUUUAAAAGACCUUCUUAUGAAGGUAUGCUUAAAGAGGGGCUUGCGCCACAUUAGUUAGUUGGUAGGGUAAAAGCCUACCAAGACGAUGAUGUGUAGCUGGACUGAGAGGUUGAACAGCCACAUUGGGACUGAGACACGGCCCAAACUCCUACGGGGGGCAGCAGUAGGGAAUUUUCGGCAAUGGAGGAAACUCUGACCGAGCAACGCCGCGUGAACGAUGAAGUAUUUCGGUAUGUAAAGUUCUUUUAUUGAAGAAGAAAAAGUAGUGGAAAAACUAUAUUGACGUUAUUCAAUGAAUAAGCCCCGGCUAACUAUGUGCCAGCAGCCGCGGUAAGACAUAGGGGGCGAGCGUUAUCCGGAAUUAUUGGGCGUAAAGGGUGCGUAGGCUGUUAGAUAAGUCUAUAAUUUAAUUUCAGUGCUUAACGCUGUCUUGUUAUAGAAACUGUCUUGACUAGAGUGAGAUAGAGGCAAGCGGAAUUCCAUGUGUAGCGGUAAAAUGUGUAAAUAUAUGGAGGAACACCAGAAGCGUAGGCGGCUUGCUGGGUCUUUACUGACGCUGAGGCACGAAAGCGUGGGUAGCAAACAGGAUUAGAUACCCUGGUAGUCCACGCCGUAAACGAUGAGUACUAAGUGUCGGGGUAAAACUCGGUACUGAAGUUAACACAUUAAGUACUCCGCCUGAGUAGUACGUACGCAAGUAUGAAACUUAAAGGAAUUGACGGGACUCCGCACAAGCGGUGGAUCAUGUUGUUUAAUUCGAAGAUACACGAAAAAUCUUACCAGGUCUUGACAUACUCUGCAAAGCUAUAGAAAUAUAGUGGAGGUUAUCAGGGAUACAGGUGGUGCAUGGUUGUCGUCAGUUCGUGUCGUGAGAUGUUAGGUUAAGUCCUAAAACGAGCGCAACCCUUGUCGUUAAUUGCCAGCACGUAAUGGUGGGGACUUUAGCGAGACUGCCAAUUAAACAUUGGAGGAAGGUGAGGAUUACGUCAAAUCAUCAUGCCCCUUAUGAUCUGGGCUACAAACGUGAUACAAUGGCUGUGACAAAGAGUAGCUGAAACGCGAGUUUUUAGCC
rnacentral:rRNA from 1 species